GUCUUCCCUGAUACUUUAAGUAUCCUAAAGGGUUGUCGGAGACUACGACGUUGAUAGGUCAGGUGUGUAAGUGCUGUGAGGCAUUGAGCUAACUGAUACUAAUUGCCCGUGAGGCUUAACCAUACAACACCCAAGGGGUUU
rnacentral:rRNA from 1 species